AUGGAUACUCCAGAUGUGUCCAUUAAUGCGAGGCUCAACAAAGCUGUCCGGGCCAAAGAAAUAAUGAGUGGGGGUAUCGAAUGCCCCAGUAAGUUUGCAGGUCCACAAGUUCCUGUGUGGAACCCUGGAAAACGGCACGAUUGCCUGGGACAAGAAAAAGAGACACAAGGAAAGCCUCAAAUUUCUGAAUCUCAGGCCCUCGUGGCUUCACUUUGUAAUGCAAGUGUAACAAAGGACGAAGAGCUUUGUCAGUGCAGCACAGUAGUUGGUGCAGAUCGCGCAGAGCUCAUAGUUAAAUUAAGGAAGAAUAAAAGAGAUGAACCUCUCUUAAAGAGAAGGAAUGUACCACAUGAAGGUAUCUGUGAAGACUCUGAUAUAGAUGGUGAUUAUAGAGUGCAAAAUAACUCUCUAGAAGCUAUUGUUCAAAAUGCUUCAAGUGAUAACCAACGAAUUCAAUUAAGUGCAGUUCAAGCUGCCAGGAAGCUUUUAUUCAGUGAUCGAAAUCCACCAGUUGAUGACUUUAAAAAUUCUGGAAUAUUGGCCAUUUUAGUCCAUUGUCUUGAAAGAGAUGACAAUCCUUCUUCACAGUUUGAAGCUGUAUGGGCUUUGACAAACAUUGUAUGUGGAACUUCUGAACAAACUCAAGCAGUAGCUCAGUCCAAUGCUGUGCCACUUUUCCUGAGGCUUCUCCAUUCACCCCAUCAGAAUGUCUGUGAGCAAACAGUGUGGGCAUUGGGAAAUAUCAUAGGUGAUGGGCCCCAGUGUAGAGAUUAUGUCAUAAGUCCUGGAGUUGUGAAACCUUUACUUUCCUUCAUAAGUCCAUCUAUUCCUAUAACAUUCUUAAGAAAUGUUACUUGGGUUAUGGUCAACUUAUGUCGCCACAAAGACCCACCACCACCAAUGGCAACCAUUCAGGAGAUUCUUCCAGCCCUUUGUGUUUUAGUUCAUCACACAGACGUAAAUAUAUUGGUAGAUAUAGUCUUGAUCCUCUCUUACCUUACUGAUGCUGAUAAUUAACAAAUGCAGAUGGUAGCAGACUCUGGAAUCGUUCCUCAUUUGGCUUCCUCAGCCACCAGGAAGUUAAAGUUUAGACUGCUGCACUUCGAGCUGUGGGCAACAUUGUUACUGGAACUGAUAAGCAAAUACAAGUAGUUUUGAACUGUGAUGCCCUUUCACACUUCCCAGCACUCCUAACACAUCCCAACAAGAAAAUUAAUAAAGAAGCAGUAUGGUUCCUCUCUAAAAUCACUGCAGGAAGUCAGCAGCAGGUACAGGCAGUAAUUGAUGCCAAUCUUGUACCAGUGAUAAUACACCUUUUGGAUAAGGGGAUUUAGGCAUUCAGAAAGAAGCUACUUGGGCCAUAAGUAACUUAAAAAUUAGUGAAAGGAAAUUAAGUGGCUUACCUUAUCCAGCAAAAUGUUAUCCCACCUUUUUGCAACUUGUUGACUGUAAAAGAUGCACAAGUUGUGCAAGUAGUACUCAAUGAACUAAGUAAUAUACUAAAAAUGGCCAAAGAAAAGGCAUAAACCAUAGGCAGUCUUAUAGAAGAAGAUGGAGGGCUGGAGAAAAUUAAACAACUUCAAAAUCAUGAAAAUGAAGACAUCUACAAAUUGGCCUGUGAGAUCACUGAUCAGUUCUUCUCUUCAGAUGAUAUUGAUGAAGACCCUAGCCUUGUUCCAGAGGCAAUUCGGGGCGGAACAUUUGGUUUCAAUUCAUCUGCCAGUGUACCAACAGAAGGGAUCCAGUUUUAG